rnacentral:rRNA from 1 species
AACGAACGCUGGCGGCAGGCCUAACACAUGCAAGUCGAGCGAGGACUUCGGUUCUAGCGGCGGACGGGUGAGUAACGCGUGGGAAUGUGCCCUUCUCUACGGAAUAGCCCUGGGAAACUGGGAGUAAUACCGUAUACGCCCUUUUGGGGAAAGAUUUAUCGGAGAAGGAUCAGCCCGCGUUGGAUUAGGUAGUUGGUGGGGUAAUGGCCUACCAAGCCGACGAUCCAUAGCUGGUUUGAGAGGAUGAUCAGCCACACCGGGACUGAGACACGGCCCAGACUCCUACGGGAGGCAGCAGUGGGGAAUCUUAGACAAUGGGGGCAACCCUGAUCUAGCCAUGUCGCGUGAGUGAUGAAGGCCUUAGGGUUGUAAAGCUCUUUCAGCUGGGAAGAUAAUGACGGUACCAGCAGAAGAAGCCCCGGCUAACUCCGUG